rnacentral:rRNA from 1 species
UACGGGGGGGGGCUAGCGUUGUUCGGAAUUACUGGGCGUAAAGGGCGCGUAGGCGGUCUACUAAGUUGGAUGUGAAAACUCUGGGCUUAACCCAGAGCCUGCAUUCAAAACUGAUAGGCUAGAGUUCUGGAGGGGAUAGGCGGAAUUCCUGGUGUAGCGGUGAAAUGCGUAGAUAUCAGGAGGAACACCGGUGGCGAAGGCGGCUAUCUGGACAGAAACUGACGCUGAGGCGCGAAAGCUAGGGGAGCAAACAGG